rnacentral:lncRNA from 1 species
AAUUUUCAGGAAUUUGACAGUGAGGGAAAUGUCAUUAUACAGCCAGGGGACUUGAAAAAAGUCUUGUUCAGAUUUGGCAUUCCAGUCACCCCAGAAGACUUUAGGAAGCUUUGGGCAAGGUCUCUUCUCAGACUGCUCUAGGCAACAUGGACUUAGACCUACCGGAUCACAAUCAACAGGUGAUACACUCAAAAACAAAGAAGAGAAGUCUUGUCUUGCAGAUAAAGAGGCAGCUUGGGAAAUCAUUAAACAACAACAACAAAAAAAGACACCACAGAGAUGCCUGUAAGGAUUACUUCCAAGAUUUCAAGAAGGCCUUUCAUAAAAUGGAUAAAAAUAGAGAUGGCUGUGUAACAGUAUUUGACCUGCACAGGAUACUACAAGAAUUCAACUGUUACCUUGAUCAUGAUCAGUUAAGCAGUCUUCUAAACAGACUGAGGAAGGGCAAAAAGUCAUUCUGCCUAAAUCUUCUUCGGAGCUGUCAAAGAGAGGCAAAUUCUCACAGAUACCAGAAGUAG